rnacentral:ncRNA from 1 species
AUUACAACAUAUUCGACGGUAGCUCAGCGGUAGAGCAGUUGGCUGUAAAUAGACGUAUAGAGCAAUCUAGGCGCACUAGCAGCUCCUUCUAGAAACAGAAGGAUGCCAACGAAGUGAAUUGCGAGAACCCUUCGCAGAUCCCUUGUGGAUCUGUAUGGCAAUUCGCAGCCAAGUUUUCAGGUAUGAUUAUAUAGGUGUGCAUAAGAGCACUCUCCUUGAGAGAGAAACGUAUGUGCGUCCAUACAUGGAAAAAGGUUCAGAGACUAUCCCUUCGGGGAGUACCUUGUUCGAACAUAUUUGAUGCAGGGGAAGCGCUUCGCACCCUAACGAUUCCGACAUGAUCGGAAAUAGGCGAGGGUGAUGAUAUAGUCCACGCCGCAAUGAAAAUUGUGG